AGUUGAGUCAUCUAUUUUAGAACGGAGGGAGUAUAUUGUAAACAACAGCCACUUCUCCACUGCAUGUGUUCUCAUUUGGUCAUAACCUUUGUGGUUUGUCUAUAGGCUGGAAUGCCCAUUUGCCCCCGGUUUGGUUCAGCUCUGAAUGUUCUAUUAAGUGGGUUCCUUUCACUU
rfam:Triticum aestivum genome assembly, contig: Triticum_aestivum_CS42_TGACv1_scaffold_423671_5BS